ACGUAGGGUGCAAGCGUUGUCCGGAAUUACUGGGUGUAAAGGGAGCGCAGGCGGAUUGGCAAGUUGGGAGUGAAAUCUAUGGGCUCAACCCAUAAAUUGCUUUCAAAACUGUCAGUCUUGAGUGGUGUAGAGGUAGGCGGAAUUCCCGGUGUAGCGGUGGAAUGCGUAGAUAUCGGGAGGAACACCAGUGGCGAAGGCGGCCUACUGGGCACUAACUGACGCUGAGGCUCGAAAGCAUGGGUAGCAAACAG
rnacentral:rRNA from 1 species